UAAGUGUCCAGCUCGUGUCAAUCAUCUAUCAUGUUCCUUGUCAAUGCACGGAAGGGCUUUGGUCGAAAUAUGUCAUUGUUGUAUGGUUGGCUGGUCAAUAAGCACCUUGCUGGGAUAGGGGUGCAAGCAGCAUAAUCGGAGGAAUGUGUUGACAGUUGACAUUUUCAAAAACUCAUCUCCCCACUUUGUACAUAUACAUGCACCAGAGUAUUGACUGCAUGCCCAGAGAUGAAGGGGAAUUUGAAUGUAUGAUUCAGAGAAUAAUAAUGAAUUGGUUAAUCCAGCUAUUUGUAUGAUGCAGAGAAUAAUAAUGAAGUGGUUAAUCCAGCUAUUCCAACUGGUUCAACAUUUGACUCACUACAAGAGCCUUGUUAUUUCUACAAAUUUUACUUGUGGGAACCUGGCUCCAGAAUCAGGUCAGGACGACUUACUGUCAAAGAACUGUUGGGAGACACGUUUCUUGCUGUCGACAAAUGUGAAUAAUGUGAGAAUCACGUAUACACAAAACAUACUCCCUCCAUAAACUAAUA
rnacentral:lncRNA from 1 species